AUCUGAUGGUGUGGACAGCUGGAACACAAUUUCUUAAACCGCUCCCAGUAUUCAUGCAAUGUUUCUCCACCUUGCUAUUGGAUGCCACAAAUCUCCUUCCUUAUGGC